AAUUAGAGGAUUUUAUAAAACUGUAUUGGCUUAGUAGACUCAUUUUCUCUAGAGGAUUUUUUCUUUUUGGUGAAUCUUUCUCUCAAGUUCACGAGCAUUGUUUUGGNNACCUCCAUUUGCUUUUCAUAACAGAAAUAUGACACAUCAUGUACCACCUCAAAGCACAAGACUUCCUAACAAUUUAUCAUUUAGAAGCACCCCUCAUAAUUAAUCUACUCCUUAUGGACAUCAAAAAUAGUAACACACUAUUUUUGACACUAUUUUUUAUCACAUUUCGAACUCAAGUCACAAUUAAAAAAAUUUAUAUAUACUUUAAAAUAUGAUAAAACAUGGAAACUCACCAAACAUAUAACUCAGCCAGUCAAUUCAGCAAAUAAUACUAACCAGUUAAUUCUAGCAGCUUAACAUAGGUAAAUAGAAAACCUAUUAUUUGCACAUGCUAUAAGAUUCAUGAUAGCAUGCAUUUAUGUUAUAAAGUAAUCACCACAGAACCAUUCCUGCAGGAUAGCAAUAUCCCAGUGUGACAUCCAAAUGUUAAUUAACCAUGUUCUUAGCAUAAUACUAAUUUAGUAACAUCAAGCAUCAC
rnacentral:lncRNA from 1 species